rnacentral:rRNA from 1 species
UACGUAGGGUGCAAGCGUUAAUCGGAAUUACUGGGCGUAAAGGGCGCGUAGGCGGCCGCCUAAGUCAGACGUGAAAUCCCUCGGCUCAACCGGGGAACUGCGUCUGAUACUGGGUGGCUUGAAUCCGGGAGAGGGAUGCGGAAUUCCAGGUGUAGCGGUGAAAUGCGUAGAUAUCUGGAGGAACACCGGUGGCGAAGGCGGCAUCCUGGACCGGUAUUGACGCUGAGGCGCGAAAGCCAGGGGAGCAAACGGG